rnacentral:rRNA from 1 species
UGGGGAAUUGUUCACAAUGGGCGCAAGCCUGAUGACGCAACGCCGCGUGGGGGAUGAAGGUCUUCGGAUCGUAAACCCCUGUCGAAUGGGACGAAAGACUCGCGAGUGAAUACUUCGCGAGAGUGACGGUACCGUUAAAGGAAGCCACGGCUAACUCUGUGCCAGCAGCCGCGGUAAUACGUAGGUGGCAAGCGAUACUCGGAAUCACUAGGCGUAAAGCGCAGGUAGGCGGUUUGAUAAGUCUUUUGUGAAAGCUCCCGGCUUAACUGGGAGAGGUCAAGGGAUACUAUCGGACUAGAGUGUGGUAGGGGAUACUGGAAUUCCUGGUGUAGCGGUGAAAUGCGUAGAUAUCAGGAGGAAUACCUAUGGCGAAAGCAGGUAUCUGGGCCAUCACUGACGCUGAGCUGCGAAAGCUAGGGGAGCAAACAGGAUUAGAUACCCGGGUAGUCCCUGAGCGGGCUGGCAAGGCGCAU